rnacentral:rRNA from 1 species
GAUGAACGCUGGCGGCGUGCCUAAUACAUGCAAGUCGAGCGAACAGACGAGGAGCUUGCUCCUCUGACGUUAGCGGCGGACGGGUGAGUAACACGUGGAUAACCUACCUAUAAGACUGGGAUAACUUCGGGAAACCGGAGCUAAUACCAGAUAACAUGUUGAACCGCAUGGUUCAACAGUGAAAGACGGUCUUGCUGUCACUUAUAGAUGGCUCCGCGCCGCAUUAGCUAGUUGGUAAGGUAACGGCUUACCAAGGAAACGAUGCGUAGCCGACAUGAGAGCGUGAUCGGCCACACUGGAAAUGAGACACGGUCCAGACGCCUACGGGAGGCAGCAGUAGGAAAUCUUCCGCAAUGGGCGAAAGCCUGACGGAGCAACGCCGCGUGAGUGAUGAAGGUCUUCGGAUCGUAAAACUCUGUUAUUAGGGAAGAACAAAUGUGUAAGUAACUAUGCACGUCUUGACGGUACCUAAUCAGAAAGCCACGGCUAACCACGUGCCAGCAGCCGCGGUAA